rnacentral:lncRNA from 1 species
CCGAACUAAAAACUUUCCACGGAAGUGUUCUGGACGUGAUCUGAUGAGGGGGUCCGUCCCCAGGUGUGUCGGCGUAGCUUACGACCGACGCGGACGCAGUGCUGAUGGCGCCUUUUACGCCGCUGCACUGCGGGGAAAAAUACAAACAGGACUUUGUUUAGUCGGUCCCUCAUUCGUGCAAGGAUGUAUGACUACUAAUGUUAUUUUGAUACUCAUCACCUGCUGGUAUAUAUCGUUAAUUCCCGUUUUUAGUACGAACGAAGGAUUCUGAAUUUCAUCAGGGUGCGUGUGACACUUUUAUCAUGACUUAAUUCAAUAACGACGAUUAAGGAUAACCCGCUUACAUAUAAAUUUGCGUAAGAACAUAAGUGUUAUAUAUAUAAGCGUUACGAUCUAUGACCAAAUACCUGUAUGUGUCGUAUUAUCUCUUCGUUUACCCUUGCUUGUCAUUAAUGAAAUUCAUAAUACUUUUGUGGUAGUGUUUGUAAAACUGUACCGAAGGUGUGUUCGUAAUUCCGAAACACUGUCUAAUGUAUUUCAACGUGUGUUCUGGAUUUUUUUUGGCCCCGAGGCAGGAAUUGUCAUCCUUGAGUUAAUUUCCCCUUAUAAUCCCUGAAGCGCGCCACGCGCUGCCAGGAGCGGUUUUUUACAUGAGCAAGAUGCGCGGUCACGUAGCCGCUGACGCGCGAGUAACAAGCGGCGCGCUGUAUCUUUAGGGUCCGCGCCGUGUCUUUAGGGGGUUGGGGUUGGGUUUUCAGGGUUUAGAGUUUAAACAGCCGCGAAGCGGCUCGUCGGCCACUCCCUAUACACAUCCUGACGCGUGCCACGCCAAAAAAAAAUUCCGCAACACAGAUCUAAUUUCACCGAGAAUCAAUCUCGCUCUUUCUUCUGAAAUCAUACGAAGGUAAAAUAUAUCGUGAUUUUAAAAGCAUGUUAUUAUAAAACACUCGCAAAACCUGCAAAAAACAUUUGAGUGUGUUCUGAUACACCGCAUCUAGCACAGCGAGUGUUAUUUUCCAUUUGAAAAAACCGAAGAACAGAAAAGUGCAGCGUGCUCGAAUGAAAGUCAGUUGCGGCAAGGCGAGCGGCCGUUGCUAGGUGUUUCCUUUACCAUGUACGGAGGUAACAUGCAGCCAUCUCAAGGUUUGAUGUUGAUGGUUCCUGUCCCUCCGCCCUGCUUCUGCUGAUUUUGUCGCAGGAUUCUUUUCUUACGAGCUGCAAGCUGCGCCUCAUAUCGUUUUUGCGCGAGGUCCAAUUUUGUUUGUGGGUUGAGACUACCACCUGGCUUUCUGUAUUCCCACAACGCCCAUGCCCCUGCAGCCAGGAGUAUAAACAGCCCGAAAGGGCUUGGUUCACUGCCGUCUCCACCUGGCUCCCAACCACCAUCGCCAUCGCCAUCGUCCGGGGGCAUGCCGUCUCCACCAUAACCAAACUUGCGCUGGUCCGUGGUCUCCAUUCGAAGGGGAGCAGCACCAGGACCUCGAAAACUGCCGGUUGAGCCGCCAUUGCUAAAUCAAGAGAAUAAAAAUUCAGAGAAGGAACGGUAUAUCUCAAAGAUGCAAAGAAAGGGUAACAAAAAAGUUGGACAGCUUGCGACCCGGCGUAGUCUCGCCAGAAAAGAUCAAAGUGCCACCGACUUUAUCUAGAAAGGGUCGUCGCGCGGCUGUUCUGAAGAAGGAUUUGCACAUUUUACAUGGGCGCACCUUGGAAAACUCCGAGGCUUGUUGUCGUCUUCGGGUUUCUGCCCUGAUCUCUCCACGGCGAAGGGUGUACGGACGAUGAGAGGGCGACGAUGACGAUGUUUGUAUUCUACGCGAGCACGUAGCCAGGAGCAUCGAGAAGGGGAAAUGAUAGACAUUUUCUGUAGAGUUUCUGAGCGUAGGCGAGAGGAGCAAAAUAACUGCCAAGUUCGGUUCCCUUCAAGUUUCCGUGAAGUGGUGAGCAGCCAGAGCCACAAUGCCCGCAACGAUAAAUAUCACGAAG